CCUACGGGUGGCAGCAGUGAGGAAUAUUGCGCAAUGGGCGAAAGCCUGACGCAGCGACGCCGCGUGAGGGAUGAAGGUCUUCGGAUCGUAAACCUCUGUCAGCAGGGAAGAACGGUCACUGUGCUAAUCAGCAGUGAAUUGACGGGACCUGCAAAGGAAGCACCGGCUAACGCAGUGCGAGCAGCCGCGGUAAUACGGAGGGUGCGAGAGUUAAGCGGAAUUACUGGGCGUAAAGCGCUCGUAGGCGGUAUGUCAAGUCAAGGGUGAAAUCCCCGCGCUCAACGUGGGCACUUCCUUUGACACUGGCAAACUUGAGUGUGUGAGAGGAUAGUGGAAUUCCAGGUGUAGGAGUGAAAUCCGUAGAUAUCUGGAGGAACAUCAGUGGCGAAGGCGACUAUCUGGCACAUAACUGACGCUGAGGAGCGAAAGCGUGGGUAGCAAACAGGAUUAGAUACCCGUGUAGUC
rnacentral:rRNA from 1 species